UGAACGCUGGCGGCAGGCUUAACACAUGCAAGUCGAGCGGUAGCAGGCCUUCGGUGCUGACGAGCGGCGAACGGGUGAGUAACGCGUAGGAAUCUGCCUGAUAGAGGGGGAUAGCCCGGGGAAACUCGGAUUAAUACCGCAUACGCCCUACGGGGAAAGGACAGGGGAGUCUUCGGACCUUGCGCUAUCAGAUGAGCCUGCGUCGGAUUAGCUAGUUGGCGGGGUAAAGGCCACCAAGGCGACGAUCGGUAGCUGGUCUGAGAGGAUGAUCAGCCACACUGGAACUGAGACACGGUCCAGACUCCUACGGGAGGCAGCAGUGGGGAAUAUUGGACAAUGGGCGCAAGCCUGAUCCAGCCAUGCCGCGUGUGUGAGAAGGCCUGG
rnacentral:rRNA from 1 species